rnacentral:rRNA from 1 species
CGUAAGCCCAUGCCGGUCGAAGAUACCAGGCCGCUGCGACUGUUUAUUAAAAACACAGCACUCUGCAAACACGAAAGUGGACGUAUAGGGUGUGACGCCUGCCCGGUGCCGGAAGGUUAAUUGAUGGGGUUAGCUAACGCGAAGCUCUUGAUCGAAGCCCCGGUAAACGGCGGCCGUAACUAUAACGGUCCUAAGGUAGCGAAAUUCCUUGUCGGGUAAGUUCCGACCUGCACGAAUGGCGUAACGAUGGCGGCGCUGUCUCCACCCGAGACUCAGUGAAAUUGAAAUCGCUGUGAAGAUGCAGUGUAUCCGCGGCUAGACGGAAAGACCCCGUGAACCUUUACUAUAGCUUUGCACUGGACUUUGAAUUUGCUUGUGUAGGAUAGGUGGGAGGCUUUGAAGCGUGGACGCCAGUUCGCGUGGAGCCAACCUUGAAAUACCACCCUGGCAACUUUGAGGUUCUAACUCAGGUCCGUUAUCCGGAUCGAGGACAGUGUAUGGUGGGUAGUUUGACUGGGGCGGUCUCCUCCUAAAGAGUAACGGAGGAGUACGAAGGUGCGCUCAGACCGGUCGGAAAUCGGUCGUAGAGUAUAAAGGCAAAAGCGCGCUUGACUGCGAGACAGACACGUCGAGCAGGUACGAAAGUAGGUCUUAGUGAUCCGGUGGUUCUGUAUGGAAGGGCCAUCGCUCAACGGAUAAAAGGUACUCCGGGGAUAACAGGCUGAUACCGCCCAAGAGUUCAUAUCGACGGCGGUGUUUGGCACCUCGAUGUCGGCUCAUCACAUCCUGGGGCUGAAGCCGGUCCCAAGGGUAUGGCUGUUCGCCAUUUAAAGUGGUACGCGAGCUGGGUUUAGAACGUCGUGAGACAGUUCGGUCCCUAUCUGCCGUGGACGUUUGAGAUUUGAGAGGGGCUGCUCCUAGUACGAGAGGACCGGAGUGGACGAACCUCUGGUGUUCCGGUUGUCACGCCAGUGGCAUUGCCGGGUAGCUAUGUUCGGGAAAGAUAACCGCUGAAAGCAUCUAAGCGGGAAACUUGCCUCAAGAUGAGAUCUCACUGGGACCUUGAGUCCCCUGAAGGGCCGUCGAAGACUACGACGUUGAUAGGCAGGGUGUGUAAGCGCUGUGAGGCGUUGAGCUAACCUGUACUAAUUGCCCGUGAGGCUUGACCAU